AGUGAACGCUGGCGGUAGGCCUAACACAUGCAAGUCGAACGGCAGCACAGUAAGAGCUUGCUCUUACGGGUGGCGAGUGGCGGACGGGUGAGGAAUACAUCGGAAUCUACUUUUUCGUGGGGGAUAACGUAGGGAAACUUACGCUAAUACCGCAUACGACCUACGGGUGAAAGCAGGGGAUCUUCGGACCUUUCGCGAUUGAAUGAGCCGAUGUCGGAUUAGCUAGUUGGCGGGGUAAAGGCCCACCAAGGCGACGAUCCGUAGCUGGUCUGAGAGGAUGAUCAGCCACACUGGAACUGAGACACGGUCCAGACUCCUACGGGAGGCAGCAGUGGGGAAUAUUGGACAAUGGGCGCAAGCCUGAUCCAGCCAUACCGCGUGGGUGAAGAAGGCCUUCGGGCUGUAAAGCCCUUUUGUUGGGAAAGAAAAGCAGCAGGUUAAUACCCCGCUGUUCUGACGGUACCCAAAGAAUAAGCACCGGCUAACUUCGUG
rnacentral:rRNA from 1 species